UGGGGAAUUUUGCGCAAUGGGGGAAACCCUGACGCAGCAACGCCGCGUGGAGGAUGAAGUAUCUUGGUACGUAAACUCCUUUCGAUGGGGAAGAUAAUGACGGUACCCAUAGAAGAAGCCCCGGCUAACUUCGUGCCAGCAGCCGCGGUAAUACGAGGGGGGCAAGCGUUGUUCGGAUUUAUUGGGCGUAAAGGGUGCGUAGGCGGUUUGGCAAGUCUUAUGUGAAAUCUAUGGGCUCAACCCAUAGUCUGCAUGAGAAACUACCGGGCUUGAGUAUUGGAGAGGUGAGUGGAAUUUCCGGUGUAGCGGUGAAAUGCGUAGAUAUCGGAAGGAACACCUGUGGCGAAAGCGGCUCACUGGACAAUAACUGACGCUGAGGCACGAAAGCUAGGGGAGCAAA
rnacentral:rRNA from 1 species